ACAUGUUCCAUAUUCUAUGUCAACAAAAGUAAAGAAAAUUGGGUCAAACAGUGAAGGCAGAUUUAAAUACAUUAUCAUAUGCUCUUAUUUACACUAUAUAUUUUACACAUGUGGGAGUCAAAGUAAAUCAUUUUUAACAUCAUCAAUAUAAUUUUAUUUUCUUUCACUAUAAACUUUAAUCUACAUAAUAUAAGACAUUGAUUGUAAAACUCAAAUUAUCAGAGAGAAAAAAUAUAGGAAUGAAAUAUAAUUUAAAUAAAAAAGAGCAAAAAUUAAAUAUUAAACCAAAAUACAAAGAAAAAACAAUAUUGGAUAUAAAUAUGAUGUAUAUAUAUCCAGCUCUAUGGAUGAACUAGAUUUAUACCAUAAGGCAAAACACAAAAUAAAAUCUAUAAAUCCUAGAUAUAUAUUCCAUUUCAUCUCUCAAGAGGCAUUAACAUAUGGCUAAUGAAGAUAUUUAAAAAUGUUAAAAAAUAUAUAAGAAGAACUCCUUUAAAAGUAGGUUUAGUGGUAGCAUAAGUAAUAGCGGUAGUAUUUUAUAAAAAGAUCACAUGAUUGAUAACAAUAUAAAGGACUUUUAUAUUGGUAAUGUACACAUGCACAUCAAACAUCUAUUUUUUGAGACAAAAAUAUAACACUGAAAUACACCAUAAUAAAUAUAUUGCCAACAAUUUGUUUUUUUCCUGUUUUCUUAAGUGAAAUUUAUUAUAUAUAGGUCACUGAGAUUUACCAUGUGUACUGCUCUAUUUGUCAUAGUUUGUUGGAUGAAGCAUGAGUGCCUGACCUAAAAGUCAGACUAUGAGUAUUUUGAUAAAAAUGAACUCCUUAUAUUCCAUGACAAAUGACUAAAGCAAUCACUUUCUUUCUAGACAUGUGGGCAUGCCAGCUAAAGGUAAAUAUUGUAGUUCUGCAUUUUUACCAGUGAGGGAUGAGCAAUAACUAAGGUAGUUUUCUUUACAAAAAGAGUAACAUAGUAAGAGUAGCCUACAUUUGUUCCUGUGUCUGAACACAGGACUCCAGGUGACCAGGUGUUGUCAACCAUUUCAGCUGGUGGUAAGAGAGGCAAAUAAAUAAUGACUAACCAAACAGCGAUUUAAGAGGAUCGGCCACAAAGUUUACGUAAAAUUGUAUACAGAAUUUCUUCAUUUUUCCACAUUAUAUUCUAUAACACAAUAUUUGGUGAAGUUAUGCCUUAGGUAAUUGUCUUCUAUCUUGAAAUACAUUUAUACAAAUAGCAAAUAGAAAAAAAAGAUAUCAAAUAAAAAAUUUCAAAGAAAUAUAAGUGACUGUUGAAUAUUACUAUAUUGUGGUUGGUUAAACAUACAACUAAGUUAUGAUAAAUACAUACAACACAUAUAUUUUCAUGUGUUCAUUAAUAGUAUGUAUGUCAGCAAUCCGGAGAAAAGCCUAUGAGAAAAGAGGAGUAUUUUAGGUGAUUUGAAAAUAUAAAGAAUGCAUCUAAUUUUUGUAUUUUUUUAAGUAAGAAAAUAGGAAAAUGUUAUAGGUAUAAAAUAUGAAAAUGUCAACUGCACCCAGAACUUCUGAGUAAAGCAUAUGACAGAAUAACCGUGAAAGUACCUCAGCAGGAUGUUGGACUCAGACACACAGUACAUGUUGCAUUCUUUCCUCAGAUUUCACAUUUUCACUUUCCUUAUGUUUUAGACAUUCUAGGGGUUAAAACUUGAAACUCCUUCAGAGAGCUGGCAGGCUCUCUCUGUAAAUGAGAAAAGUCAGAUGAUUGCAAGAAGAUAUGGAGCAGUGAGAAUUGUGGCAAAUGGAAUGCUUACAUCAUCACUGCUGCUUUAUACUUACCACUGUAUACCUAUAACAUCAUGAAAAUUAGCAAAUCUCUGCUUUCACUUCAGCCCCUCAAAAUUUUAACUUUCUUUUGACAAGCUAAUCUUACUUUCAACACAUGAAGGACAAAUAAAUCUUAUUAGUGGAACAAUAUCAGUUUGUAGCAUCUGAUUUUCAUAGUGGUGGUUAAGUUGAUCAGGGUUACUGUCAUGUUCUAUGAUCUGCUUAUAUUACAAGGAAGAGAAGGGCAGUGUUCUUGGUUAUUCUGCUAAUUAAGUACUGGCUGAUUAAAGAAUAAUGCUUACUGAAUAUGAAGGAUAUAGUAACAGUCAAUAUGGCAUAAGGUAAACUCAGAAUAACAGGAUGCUAUUAUAAAUAAAUGUUAGAAUAGUGAUAACAUAAUUGAUUCUUUUGGUGUUCACUUUCCAUACCUACAUAUGAAGUACUUUACCAGAAUAUAUUUAAGACCUAUUUAAAUUUUCAAGUUCUCUGGUUAAAAAUAAAGCACUGAAAUUGCUUCUCAGAGUGCAAGAUGUUAUAUUAGUAAACCACUCAGAACCAGCUGAUAGUUUCUACCAGGGAUAACUGACAAUCUCCCUAAAGUCAGUCAAUAUUUAUUAUUUAUCUAAUAUUUGAUUAUUGGAAUCAAAUAUUAACCUUUGAAAGGUUAAAAUAUUUAAUUUUAAAAGCUUUAAAUGAAAUUUUGCAUUGUCAUGAAAAAAAAUCAAUGGAAAAUUUGAGAGACCGUAUCCCUCUGCAUGCAUCAUUCUGAGUAAAGGUAUGAGUAAAGUAUGUAGGAAUAAAAUUAUUUUGCAGAAGAUACUAUUUUCCCAUUAUCGAAAUUCAUCCCAGCUGAAAGUAUUUUAUCAUGCAAGGUAUUUAAUACACGAGUGAAAGAGAGAACUAAAAAAAAAAUCCUGCCUAAUUUUUUGAAGGUAUUUUUUUUUUUUUUUUUGUAGUAACACUCAAAACAAACAAAACAAAACAAAAGAUCUCUACUUGCUCUUUGGCAAGCAUCUUACAGUAAAGAAAAAAAAUGCAUCUUUUUAUCAAAAUACAACAGUCCAGCACGUCAAUGGGAAACCUCUGUCCCUGAGCAUGAAUCCUACCAAAGAUGUCAUAAUGAUUAAUAAUAGAAAAUACUAGAUGAAUGAGUAUCAUAAAAGCUGCCAAAACUCUGAUUCUUUUACCACUUACAUUUUAUCUUACAUAGUUCUUGAUGUACUUAUACAUUAUUAAUGCAGAAAACUUAUUUCAUUUAUGAAUAAUUUAAGAAGCACAAAAUGGAAGACAGAAAGUUGAGAUAGAAAAGAUGCCAUUUUCUCUGAUCGAAGUUGUUCAGAACACAAAAACAAAUGUUACUCUCAACAAUGUAUUCAAUAGCUCGCUUUGUAGAUCGUGGUGCUGCUCUGUGAUUAAGCAAACUGAGAAAAGCUGUGGCUUCACUGCUUAAGAGGGUUUACAUCUUGUUUAUUCCCCUCUGAAUUUUCUUGUCAUGAUAAUUAACAUCUAUGAAAGAGUGAAUAACACGAAUGUUAUCAGGAAUGGUUUCUACACACAAGGUUAUUUACAUCCAUGAAUAUCAUAACGAUUUAGUGUAUAUCACCAAAGAACUUUUUAAAAUUUUCCAAUUGUGUUUGAUAAUGUGUGGGGCAUGAAGAUAGUGUGUUUGAGAUAUAUCUGCUGCCAUUCUUUUUUUUUAUAUGCCUAAGUCUUAAUGCAUUUAACAUAGUGUUAAACAGUCAAUGGUUAAGCUAAAUGUGUAGCUCAAAACAAAGAUGGGCACAAAAAAUAAUAAUGCUUUCCUUUUUCUCCAUUUUUUGCUUUUUAGGGCCACACCUGUGGCCAUAUGUAAGCUCCCGGGGUAGGAGUCAAAUCAGAACUGCAGGUGCUGCCUUACCCCACAUCCACAGCAAUGUGGAAUCUGAGCUGCAUCUGUGACCCACACCACAGUUCAUGGCAACACUGGAUAUUUAACACAAUGAGCAAGGCCAGGGAUCUAACUCAUGUCCUCAUAAAUACUAGUCAGGUUCUUAAUCCCCUGAGCCAUGAUGGGAACUCUCUUUUCUUUUUUAUGUAUUCCAUUAAAAAUAUGAUCUGACUGAUAUGACUAAAGAAGGGUUUUAUAUUAAUCUACUAAUUGUUUAAUUAGUUUAAUGUAAUGACACACUUCAUAAAAGCAUCAAAAUAUCAUGAAACUUAAAAUUUCAAUUCUGGUAAUAGUGGGCUAGUGCUUAAGACCAAUCUCUCUGCUAAGGACAUAAAAAAUAGGAAUAAAAUUAAGUAAAAUAUUAACUCAAAUAUAUACAUGAAAUGUUAACGAAACAGUAAAUGGUUACUGAGCCAAAUUCUAGGAAAGGGGGAGAAAUCAUAGACAUAUCUAGUAUAACGUAGUUUUUGCAUUGAGUAUUUUUCAUUUCUGAAAAAGUCGAUCUAGAAGAUUGAGCUUCAGAUUGUAUAGAGAAGCAGGGAACAGCAUCAGUGUGCAGAGCUGCUUACCUGAAGAGAAGAGUCUAACAUUCUCCAUUUUAAUCUAGGAUCCCAUAUAGCUAUACCUUCAUACUGAGGAUGUUACAGAAGUAAAACAGUACACUUGAGGACAUUCUGCCUAGCUUAAUGCCACCUGGGCAAUAUAGGCUACCUCAAGCCUAGAACAUGGACUAAGAGUGUCCUUGUCCCCUAGGUCCUCUGCCAUUUGCACAGAAGUGAAUAAGGUAUAAUUAUAGAAAGUUAAUAUCAGUCUAUGUUUAAAAUUGUUCCUAAAAAUAAAGCUUUAAAUUCUCUAUCUAGGAGUUCCCAUUGUGGCGCAGUGGAAACAAAUCUGACUAGUACCCAUGAGGAUGCAGGUUUGAUCCCUGGCCUUGCUAAGUGGGUCAGGAAUUCAGCACUGCUGUGAGCUGUGGUGGAGGUCACAGAUGUUGCUUGGAUCCUGCGUUGCCAUGGCUGUGGUAUAGGCCAGCAGCUGUAGCUCUGAAUCAACCCCUAGCCUGGGAACUUCCAUAUGCUGUGGGUCCAGCCCUAAAAAGUAAGUAAGUAAGUAAGUAAGUAAAUAAAUAAAUAAUCUAGUACACACCCAAUGAAACCCAGGCACACAGGAUACCAUGCCUGAGAAGCAAAGAAACAAAACACAAUUAAAACCAAUUCAGAAAAAUGUGAGAUUUUGGAAUGACCAGUUACUGAUCCAUUAUAUAUAUUUUUUAAAAAAGAGACAAGCUUGAAAAUAUAUCUGGGAAAAGUAGAUUAUAACAUCAUAUAUUCUAUCUGAAAAAGAACUAAAGAAUUCCUAG
rnacentral:lncRNA from 1 species